rnacentral:rRNA from 1 species
AUUGAACGCUGGCGGCAGGCCUAACACAUGCAAGUCGAGCGGAUGAAGGGAGCUUGCUCCUGGAUUCAGCGGCGGACGGGUGAGUAAUGCCUAGGAAUCUGCCUGGUAGUGGGGGAUAACGUCCGGAAACGGGCGCUAAUACCGCAUACGUCCUGAGGGAGCAAGUGGGGGAUCUUCGGACCUCACGCUAUCAGAUGAGCCUAGGUCGGAUUAGCUAGUUGGUGGGGUAAAGGCCUACCAAGGCGACGAUCCGUAACUGGUCUGAGAGGAUGAUCAGUCACACUAGAACUGAGACACGGUCCAGACUCCUACGGGAGGCAGCAGUGGGGAAUAUUGGACAAUGGGCGGAAGCCUGAUCCAGCCAUGCCGCGUGUGUGAAGAAGGUCUUCGGAUUGUAAAGCACUUUAAGUUGGGAGGAAGGGCAGUAAGUUAAUACCUUGCUGUUUUGACGUUACCAACAGAAUAAGCACCGGCUAACUUCGUG